GCGUCAGUAGCUCAACUGGAUAGAGUAUUAGACUUCGAAUCUAAGGGUUGCGGGUUCGACUCCUGCCUGGCGCGCCA
rnacentral:tRNA from 1 species